AUUGAACGCUGGCGGCAGGCCUAACACAUGCAAGUCGAGCGAGCGGCGGACGGGUGAGUACUGUAUGGGGAUCUGCCCGUAAGAUGGGGAUAACUACGGGAAACGGCAGGUAAAACCGCAUUCUAUGGGAUGUACCCAGAUGGGAUUAGCUAGUAGGUGAGGUAAUGGCUCACCUAGGCGACGAUCCCUAGCUGGUCUGAGAGGAUGAUCAGCCACACUGGGACUGAGACACGGCCCAGACUCCUACGGGAGGCAGCAGUGGGGAAUAUUGCACAAUGGGCGCAAGCCUGAUGCAGCCAUGCCGCGUGUAUGAUGAAGGCCUUCGGGUUGUAAAGUACUUUUGGCAGAGAAGCGGUAUCUGCAGAAUAAGCACCGGCUAACUACGUGCCAGCAGCCGCGGUAAUAC
rnacentral:rRNA from 1 species